UGCCAGCAGCCGCGGUAAUACGGAGGGUGCAAGCGUUGUUCGGAAUUACUGGGCGUAAAGCGCACGUAGGCGGGCUUGUAAGUCGCCUGUGAAAGCCCCGGGCUCAACCUGGGAAUUGCAGGUGAAACUAUUAGUCUUGAAUACCAGAGAGGAUAGUGGAAUUCCAGGUGGAGAAGUGAAAUUCGUAGAUAUUGGGAAGAACACCAGUGGCGAAGGCGGCUAACUGGCUCGGUACUGACGCUGAGAUGCGAAAGCGUGGGGAGCAAACAGGAUUAGAUA
rnacentral:rRNA from 1 species